AUUGAACGCUGGCGGCAUGCCUUACACAUGCAAGUCGAACGGUAACGGGCCUUCGGGUGCCGACGAGUGGCGAACGGGUGAGUAAUGUAUCGGAACGUACCUUUCAGUGGGGGAUAACGUAGCGAAAGUUACGCUAAUACCGCAUAUUCUGUGCGCAGGAAAGCAGGGGAUCGCAAGACCUUGCGCUGAUUGAGCGGCCGAUAUUAGAAUUAGCUAGUUGGUGAGGUAAAGGCUCACCAAGGGGACGAUCUGUAGCGGGUCUGAGAGGAUGAUCCGCCACACUGGAACUGAGACACGGUCCAGACUCCUACGGGAGGCAGCAGUGGGGAAUUUUGGACAAUGGGGGCAACCCUGAUCCAGCCAUGCCGCGUGAGUGAAGAAGGCCUUCGGGUUGUAAAGCUCUUUCGGCCGGGAAGAAAUCGUAUCAGCUAAUACCUGGUGCGGAUGACGGUACCGGCAUAAGAAGCACCGGCUAACUACGUGCCAGCAGCCGCCGUAACAC
rnacentral:rRNA from 1 species